rnacentral:rRNA from 2 species
CGGUAAGGCCCCUUCGGGGGUACACGAGUGGCGAACGGGUGAGUAACACGUGGGUGAUCUGCCCUGCACUCUGGGAUAAGCCUGGGAAACUGGGUCUAAUACCGGAUAUGAGCUCCUGUCGCAUGGCGGGGGUUGGAAAGGUUUACUGGUGCAGGAUGGGCCCGCGGCCUAUCAGCUUGUUGGUGGGGUAAUGGCCUACCAAGGCGACGACGGGUAGCCGGCCUGAGAGGGCGACCGGCCACACUGGGACUGAGACACGGCCCAGACUCCUACGGGAGGCAGCAGUGGGGAAUAUUGCACAAUGGGCGAAAGCCUGAUGCAGCGACGCCGCGUGAGGGAUGACGGCCUUCGGGUUGUAAACCUCUUUCAGCAGGGACGAAGCGAGAGUGACGGUACCUGCAGAAGAAGCACCGGCCAACUACGUGCCAGCAGCCGCGGUAAUACGUAGGGUGCGAGCGUUGUCCGGAAUUACUGGGCGUAAAGAGCUCGUAGGCGGUUUGUCGCGUCGUCCGUGAAAACUUGGGGCUCAACCCCAAGCUUGCGGGCGAUACGGGCAGACUUGAGUACUGCAGGGGAGACUGGAAUUCCUGGUGUAGCGGUGAAAUGCGCAGAUAUCAGGAGGAACACCGGUGGCGAAGGCGGGUCUCUGGGCAGUAACUGACGCUGAGGAGCGAAAGCGUGGGUAGCGAACAGGAUUAGAUAC